UUGUAAAAAAGUAGUGCGAUUAUGAAGCUGUAGUUUUCCCCACGCAGGGAGUCAGUCUGAAGGCUCGGAGAGUGAGUUAGUCACUUAAAGGUCACAUUCUGAGGGGUUUUCUUGCUUAUAAAAAAUAACUGCCAUUCAUGACCUUGGCACAACCAGGAAACACAGGCAGUAUGACCUGAGAACACAGGACACGUGGCGGCAUGCAGGGAGCACAGGGCACAUGGCAGCCUUUGGCCAGGCAGACCUCUCAUCUUCCCAGAGCUUCUCCUCACACCUCAGCAGAUGCUCAUCUGCUUUCACUGUCUGGAAGGAGCUCACUGUAAAGGACAGGAAACUGUUCCUCAGCUAAGGGACAUCCGGCCACGUCUGUCCCAGGACAUCGCUCCUGCUCCUCCAGCUCCAGAGUCAUGUUCACCCAUUUGAACCAACUCCUGUCAUCUGCCUGAUCUGCUUCAAGGUCACAUGGCUCAGCUUGCACCCCAUGAAUGGGCAGGGGAAGGAGCACAGGCAGGACACUCACACACACAGCUCGACUCUCUUCUGCCCCAGUGUGACACGGGAGAUAGGAGAGUGACAGUCCCCAUCAUCACCCUUGGGACUGUGGGUCGGCUUCCAGGAGACAUUUCCACGGAGCGCAGAGGCUCUGCUUCAUCAACCAUUGGGCAUCCGAGUUAAUUUUCUUUACUGCUGUUAACUUCGCCUUCCAAUUACCCAAAAUGUCCUGACGGAGCAGCUCCCAGCACAGGACCUCAUCUCUACUGACACUGGGUGCUAUGGGUCUCAGCCCUGACUGACAGGGCCAGGGGCUUCCCUUGUCAAGCCUGGUCUUCUCCAAAAUACAAAUGACAAGAUGGGCUCCUGAAAGCUGCAUGGCUGUUGAACAGGCAACGAGUGUGGGUUAAAAACACAGCGGCUGCAACGCUGGGCUUAAUUGCUGUCUUCAAAAAGCAUGGCAGUUGGGAGGUGCUAAAUGGAUGCUUUAAAAAACGGUUGAGCGUUUCUGUCUUGGACCACAUGAGGUUCAUUGUUUGUGUUUACUUUGCUCUUUAGGAGUUGCUGCGCUUAAUAUCACAACCGAACCCCCAGUGGUUUGCUCUGCAUGGUACAGAGCAUCUGUUGUGCAGGCCGUUUUCUAGGUUUCAAUUCUGGCCACAGACAAUCGUCAGAUACAAGGGGUCAGGAAGUGACAGAUGCUGAGUGAGACAGAAAAGCUGGGAAUGGUCAGAAGAGACUGGUGUGAACCCUGAGAGAUGGGAAAGUCGGGACUCUGGGAAAAUGUUCUACACAGCAAAUGCCAGUGCAAAAGCCCUGAGGUAGAUCUGUUUGGCCAUUGAUGGAAAAGUCAUCGCACGGUGGGGAGACAAGGGUAGAGAGAAGGACAGAGAGGUGGGAAGGCUAGACCCACAGAGAGAAGGAUGGAGAAAUGGGAAGGCUAGACCCUGCAGGUGCUCUGAGCUUUCUUUGCAGGAUCAGAAGAUAUGACUAGAUCUAAUUUAUCUGUAAAACGAUCACUCCCGUUAUGUUGUUAAGAAUAGACUGGGGAGAGGGGUUAGGGUGGAGGAUGGUGCAGAGCCCAGGAGACAAGUGAAGACAGUGUCUGAACAGCAGCUGGGACCAUUUUCGUGGAAGCAACGUGUAUGUAUGUGUGUGUGUGUGUAUGUAUGCAUGUGUGUCUGUAUGCAUGUAUGCAUAUGUAUAUAUAUGGUUUAUAUAUAAAUGUUUUCAUAAUAUUUGUACUUAUGUAUUUCUAAUGUGUGUAAAUGGAUUCACUGGCUGACCCACAUUGCCAGCAUCAGUAUGUGUACAGCAUCAUUGUUAUGUGUACAGCAUCGUUGUUCUGUGUACAGCAUCAUUAUGUGUACAGCAUCGUUGUUCUGUGUACAGCAUCGUCAUGUGUAUAGCAUCAUUAUGUGUACAGCAUCGUUGUUAUGUGUACAGCAUCAUUAUGUGUACAGCACCGUUGUACAACCUGGCAUUAUACAUGAAUAGUCAGACAACACAUUGAAAAGUGCUUAGGUUGCUGGUCUGAGUAACUUGACCUUGAUCUCAGAGAGCCUGGCAGACAUUUAUCAUGGUCUUCACAGGUUUUGUUAUUUUUAGUGAAAUAGGACUUCACCAUGUACCCCAGGCUAGCCUUCAACUCCCAAUCCUGCUUCAGGAUGAGUUACACAGGUUUUGUUAUUGUUGUUGAAAUGGGACUUCACUGUGUACCUCAGACUAGCCUUCAACUCCCAAUCCUACUUCAACCUCCUGAAAGUUGAGAUUUUAGGUAGAGAUGUAGACAGAAUUUUAAAGAAUAAGUUUUAUGUUUUCAUCUUCAGCUUCGAAGUGUUAAAGGGGUGGGCACAGAUAUGGCUCAGGCUGAAAGCAUUUCUCCAUUCAAUCCUGCCCACCUGAGUUCGGAUUCCCAGAACCCAUGUAGGCAAUGGGCUCGGUGGUAUUCAUUGGUAUUCCCAGCAUUCCCACGGUGAGAGGGGAGGAAGAGACAAAAGAAUGUCCCAGAGGCUUGAGGUGUACACAGUGCAGCAGUAAACCAGAGAUACUAUCUAAGCAGGGUGUAAGGCAGAGACCAGGAUCAAGGCUGUCUCCUGAUCCCUACACAUUCACCAUGCCAUGAAUGUAUCCUCACACACAACCAUGUAAACACACCCACACCCACACACACUGCACAGUCAUACAUGUAAAACAUGAAUAAAAUAUACUUUAAAAAGCAAUCCAUCACGUCAUAUGGACGCCCUGUCCCUGGGGUUCCAAAUUGUCACCAUUCAUUGAAACUUCAUAAUAAGAAUAUGAAAUCUCCUUAAAUAUUGUCAGAAUCCUUUCCAUUAUUUUCUUUUAAAGCCACAGUGCAGGAGAAUUGGCUGCAAUGCUUUUUGAAAAGCACACAAACAGGCCAGCAAUUGCCUCGCCUAAUGGGCCUUGCCUUGAAUUACAUGUGAGACAGAUGCGUCUCGUCAGAAUACUGCUCAGCAGAAAGAAUUGUGGCGUCCGGUUGAGCAAUAAAGGUGCAGACCGUGAGUGCAAACACGUGUUCGGAGGACAUUAGCUGUUAGCCACGAGCCUUUCUCUGGCUGACGAUCUCGCUGUGGGAUCCAAUAUCACUCUAGGAAGGGAAUGGAGACUACUAGCUGUCAGCUGGCCAGGCAAGCCACAGUUCAUCAAGCCUCCACUGAUGUGACAGAGGCCAUCUCCACUUUGGCAGGUUAUGGAGGCGGCAUGGGUGUUCUGGUCUAGAGGCUGUGCGUCAUAUAGUAAAGGACAGGUGAGCAGCCCAAUGACCUGUAUUUGCAAAAAGUGCUCCCUCCGUACUCUGAGACUGUCAGUGUAAAAAUCAUCUCAUACCUCAAAGGCAAUGAACAGUGUCUUAUUUUGAAGCCAGACCUGAGUAGCCAUGGCUUGGGGGGGACACAGAUUUUGAGUACCCCAAAUUCUAAAUUCUCAUAAAUUCAAUUGUAUGACGUUCUUAUAACAUUAGAACAAAGAGAGUCAUAGAUCAGAACACUUUUAAAAUGUGCCUGCAAAAAUAUCAGAUAGGUGAUUUACAACAAAGGGGGCUAUCACUUCAAUAGCCCUCAAAUGCUGUCUAGUGACAUCCUUAGCUUUUGGGUAGGUGAAAGUUAGUUAGGAGUCUGCCCAUACCUUUCAAAAUAAUUUACCUAAUAGUCACAAGGGUGUUAGGUCACACACGGAGAUAGGCAAUAAAUGGCUAUAAAUAGGGCCUAAGAUAGUCCAGGAUAACUUGGCUUCUUGAUCUGCAACAUUCCAACCUCACCACAGCCACUAAGUUCUACCGAGACAAACAGCCUUGCAGAAUGGCCAGUGUAGCUGUGGCUUAUUUCUGGUGAUUUCGGUUAACACAGUUCUAAAGAGAUAUGUUGACUCUCCAGCUACAUGGCCUUGGCAGAGGGUUGGGUCACUUAUCAUGUGGGAGAUAUUUUAUCCAGAGUGCCUGAAGGCACCUGCAAGGCAGAAUGCACUGGGCGUGGCACCUGUGGUAGUCAAACUUGUCACCCCUGUGACAAAGUCUGAGAGGAGUGGUUUAGAAGGGGAAGAGUCUCUCUGGGUCAGUUUCAGUCUAUGGUCAGUUAGCGCCAUAGUUAUGGGUCUGAGGUGGUGAAGGAUGUUUAACUUGCGGCAGCCAGGAAGCAGACAGGGUGACAUGAGACAUGCCCUUCUCAGCCAUGACUACCUCAGUGGCCUGCUUUUUUCAGUCAGCCCUUCCUUCCAGUGUCUGCCAGGACACAGCAAUCCAUCGGGUCCAGCGACAUCAAUAAAUCCCUCCACUGAUUGUAUCAGAGCCCUCAUGAUCCAAACGCUUGCCCGAAGCCCAUCUCUGAGCACUGGGACCAAGAUGGCAACAUCAGAGCCUUUAGAGGAUAUUUCAUCUCCAAGCCACGGUGGUGUCACUCUCCCCUCAAGGGUGACCAGAGGGACCAUUUACUGUAUGGGAUCCCAAUUGUCUUUUAAUUAUACACGGUUUUGAUGAAAAUAUAUUUUUUCUUUUGGCACGUG